rnacentral:rRNA from 1 species
UUGAACGCUGGCGGCAGGCCUAACACAUGCAAGUCGAGCGGAUGAAGGGAGCUUGCUCCUGGAUUCAGCGGCGGACGGGUGAGUAAUGCCUAGGAAUCUGCCUGGUAGUGGGGGAUAACGUCCGGAAACGGGCGCUAAUACCGCAUACGUCCUGAGGGAGGAAGUGGGGGAUCUUCGGACCUCACGCUAUCAGAUGAGCCUAGGUCGGAUUAGCUAGUUGGUGGGGUAAAGGCCUACCAAGGCGACGAUUCGUAACUGGUCUGAGAGGAUGAUCAGUCACACUGGAACUGAGACACGGUCCAGACUCCUACGGGAGGCAGCAGUGGGGAAUAUUGGACAAUGGGCGAAAGCCUGAUCCAGCCAUGCCGCGUGUGUGAAGAAGGUCUUCGGAUUGUAAAGCACUUUAAGUUGGGAGGAAGGGCAGUAAGUUAAUACCUUGCUGUUUUGACGUUACCAACAGAAUAAGCACCGGCUAACUUCGUG